rnacentral:rRNA from 1 species
UAAAGACGAGAAGACCCUUAGAGUUUUUCUAAAAUUAAGACUAUUUAAUUGUUCUUAUAACAGUUUAGUUGGGGCAACAUAGGAGCAAUAAAAAAUAUAAUCUCCUAAAAAUAAUUAAUCGAUUAUUUUAGUAAUGAAUAAACUACCUUAGGGAUAACAGCAUAAUUUUAUUAUUAAGUUUGUGACCUCGAUGUUGGACUGGGAAACCUAAAGGUUAGCCACCUUUAGAGUUAGUUCUGUUCGAACUAUUAUUCCC